rnacentral:rRNA from 1 species
UACAGAGGGUGCAAGCGUUAAUCGGAAUUACUGGGCGUAAAGCGCGCGUAGGUGGUUUGUUAAGUUGAAUGUGAAAUCCCCGGGCUUAACCUGGGGGCUGCAUUUGAUACGUGUUGUCUUGAGUUCGGAAGAGGGUCGUGGAAUUCCCAGUGUAGAGGUGAAAUUCGUAGAUAUUGGGAAGAACACCGGUGGCGAAGGCGGCGACCUGGUCCGACACUGACGCUGAGGCGCGAAAGCGUGGGGAGCAAACAGG